rnacentral:lncRNA from 1 species
CAAGGAGAGCUCUUGGCCCUAAGGGAGCCGACAUCAGGCUGGGAAGCAGACCAGAGUCAGAUGCCCAGAACUGAAGGCACCAAGGCCAGGCUCACCAGGGAGAUCAAGACGGCUUCCUGGAGGAGGUGACCGUAGAGCCGGUGGGGAAAACUGGGCAGCAGUGAUUCAGGUGACAGAGGAGACCCAGCCCCACGGAGGGGGGUUGGCCUGACGCAUCCAGGAAGGAAAUGGACGCCGCCAAGCAGUGUCAGGAACAGGCCCGGGGUGUCCGACUUCUGAGGGUCAGGGGCCCAGGCUGGGAGGAUGUUUGGGCCCCUCUGGGGUCUCUUCGAUGCUCCAGCGCAUCUCCCGGGGAGGCUCCGUUAUUUCUCUCUAACACUAUUCGGGAUCGAGACACAAAGGUGGUUGGCUGGGGGACCUUUCAGGAGCCAAGGGGGCAUUUCUGACAUUCAAGCCAAGUUUGCAGCAUCCUGCGACAGUGACCCUGGUACAGCAUGAAGGCCACGCAGGCCGAGCCAAAGCCAGUGUCCCCACCAAGAGGACGCCUUCCUCCACUGCAGGCUCCGAGGGUCCUGGGCAAGGAGAGCAAUGCUGGAGACGCGCCUGGGGGCAGUGGGUGGAUUCCUUGUUCACGUCUGGUGUGUGUGGGGGAGGGGUGGCAGGGGACAGGACGCUGGCCCCUGCGGAAUCUCAGGUCUGCUUUCUUGGCUGGGGGAAGGGCAGAGAACUGAGUUCGUGCCAAGGAUGCCCUUUCUUGUCUGCUUGGCAAACCAGUGUCUCUGGCCGCCCCACUGAUUCCUCUGAGCCAGUCUCAUGUGCAGGAGCAAAGUUUCGCUUUGUGUCUCUGAGGGUAGCCCAAGCCCCUGGCAAGGCCCAGCCUGGCCCCUCCCCAGGUCUGUCCUGUUGUGGCCUGUCCUCCUGGGCGGCCUGACUCUGCAGCCUGCAUCCCUGCCCCCGCAGCGGGUCCUAUGCUCUGGGCUUGGCUGACAGUCCUUCAGCCUAUUAGUGAUGCAACUUUGGGAGGAAAGUCACGGAGCCCCUCUGGCCUUGGGGACAGUCACAGCUGUCUCGUCCCCAAGGGUGGGGUGAGAACCAGGUGAGGAAGUUGAUGUGGGAGACGAUCUGAGUGGCACAGGACUGAACAUUAAAAAGAAGCCUUUCUUGGAGUUCCCUGGUGGCCCAAUGGUUAAGGACUUGGCAUUGUCACUGCUGCGGCUCCUGUUUGAUAGCUGGCCCAGGAAUGUCCACAUGUCAUGGACAUGGCCAAAAAAACACAAAACAAACAAACAAACAAAAAACCCCCAAAACCCAACAAAGCCUUUGGGGUCACUACUGUGGUCAGCAGCCUUCUAAUGUGACCCUAAGAGUCCCCGCCUCCUGGGGUUCUAAGCUCCGGGUGUUCCCCACCCCCUGAUGCUGGGCUGGGUCUGGUGACUGGUUCUGACCCACAGAACACAGCAAGCGUGAUGGACGUUGCUCUUGACGUUAGGUUCUAUAGGACCAAGACUUCCAUCUUGUUCCCUCCAGCUUUUCUCCCUUGCUUAGUCCACAAAGCUGGCUGCCCUGCCAUGAACUGCCCUAUGGAGAGGUCACAGGGCAGGGAACUGAGGCCCUUGGUCCAUCAGCCGGUGAGGAGCUGAAUCUAACUCAUGGCUGCUGAGUGAGCCUGGACCCUGGCAACGUCUGCAGCCACUGCCACACCUGGACUGCAGUGUCUGAGUGACACAGGGAGACCUCUGUCCAAGCUGCAUUCAGAUCCAGCCUAGGAAAAAGUGGGAGACAACAAACAUUGGUUUAAACCAUGAUGAUCCGGGGUUAUUUGUUAUGCAGCAGUAGCUAACUGACACACAUAUGUAAUUGAAUGUGUCUUCGGAAAAACGUAAGUAGCCCGUGACAUUGGGUUUGGGACAUUUGUUGCUUGCAGUGAUACUAAGGGAAAAAAAAGCAAUCAAUUUAGAUCAGUUUGAAGAGACUAUAAGAUAAAUAAAAUGCCGAUGAUGGCAGGAUGGUAAAAAUCCAGAGAAGGCAGAUGAUGACUGAAGUUCAGUGAGCACUGAGAUAUUGACGGGACAGUCAUCCAUGCCAUGGCAGGUGUGUUCAGUGUGAGGGGUAAUUCUGGAUCAAGUUGGGGGCACAGGGUGCAGCAAGGGCUUCCUCUUCCCAGGCUGAGCUCUGCUCUGAUGAGGGGGUGGGGGCUACACACAAGAUCAUCCAACUUACCACCGCCUUCCUCCCAGGCUCCCUGCCUCUCCCUGGACCUCCCUGCAUCCCAGCCUACCUACUCCCAGCAUCCUCAUCACAGGAGGCGUGGCCCGUGGCUUCUUUGCUGUAGCCCAGUGUCCAGUGGGUGGAGGGGACCAAGGAUCUGGGAACCCUGGUUCUAGGGCAGCUUCCGACGGUGGCAGAGUCACCUCCUUUCUCUGCGCUGAAGAGGAGGGACAGUAGGGGUCAGGGGAGGAAGAGGAAGGAGAGAGGAAGAUGGGGGCAGAGGUGUCAGAUGCUGUCACUGCCACACCCUGGGUUUCCUGCAGGCCUGAUUUCCAGUCUGGGGCACCAGAAAGACCCAUGGACAGAGCUGGUAGGAGGCCUGGUGACCUCAUCUGACCUCAGUCACAGACAAGGGGAGACCUUGGUAGAAUCCUUCUUACCUCUGGCCCAUCCCUAAAAUCCGGGCUCUACAGACCCGCAAGGCAUUCUGGGGGGUGUGGCUAGAGCCCACUGAGCCUGCAUCCCUUCCUCCAAAGGCUGGGAAGUGCUGUCACAGUGUCCUCUGUCCCUGUUCCGUCUGUCUCCUCCACCGAGCCAGACGGUGGAGUGCUCUGAAGGCUAAGUGGCCCCCUCUCACUAAGCACUUCCCUCCGCCCAGCACCUGACAGGUGUCACCUUGCGGGAACCCUGCCAACAGCCCGAGAGGCGGGCGUAAUUCUCUCCCCCGUUUAGGGAUAGGGAAGCAGCUUAGAGGGGGUGUGGAGAGACCAGCCUAGGAGCAGAGGCCACAGAGCCAGAAUGCUCGAUAAAUAAUUGCUGGGCGGGGCUGGCUGGGGGGCACUUCCUGGUCAAUGUCGCAGGGCAGCUGGACCUGGAGGAGGCAGGUUAGGUCGCCGCCAGGUGGGCCAGGUCGCCUGGAAAUUCCUGAGGGCCUGUGUGACCCCUGCACGCCUCACAGGGCGAGGUCUUGGGUUUGCUAGGAUCCCACUUCACAGAAGAGGAAGGCGCUGUGAAGUGCCUGAGGUCACAUCGUGGCUGGGCUGGUGGGUCUCUCUGAUUUCUCUCCCUGGUCAGCACUGCUCCUGGGUCCUGUCCCCUUCAGCCAGGGCCCCCAGGCCCAGGAGACCCAUGCCUGGGAUGACCAGGCUGUGCCGGUUACCCAUGGCUACCCAGAUGGCACCAGCUCUUCCUCUCCCCCAGGGGACCCGUAAGUGCCAGGCUGACUUACUGAAAGCUAGGACUGGACACCCAGGGGCCAUCUGUCUGCACCCCAGGGACGGUUUGGGCCUACUAGGAAUAACACACUGGCAUCUGAAAAAACUUAUUUCUGUCUGCCCUUUCUGGACAGCCCCUUCUUUGAGCCCCACCUGCCUCCAAACCAGCCUCAACCCAUGAAGUCCUUGUAAACGCUUACACAGCACUGCGUUCCCGCCUGGGCCUCCUGAGUUUGUAUAAACAUCAAAGGAAUUCUUUAAUUACAGUAAAGACAAGUCCUCGGGGGAUGGGCCUGUUUGGCAAAGAGCUGUGUGCAUCUAUUGUUUCCUUUUUCAGAAUAAAAAUAUCUUCCCUUUUUUCAGGUUUUCAAAUGUAUGCCGAUUGUGUAAAAAAGGAACAGGGAGUUCCCGUUGUGGCUCAGUAGUAACGAACCCAACCACCAUCCAUGAGGAUGAGGGUUCGGUCCCUGGCCUCGCUCAGCGGAUUAAGGAUCCAGCAACGCUGUGACGUGGGUCUCAGAGGCAGCUUGGAUCCCAUGUUGCUGUGGCUGUGGCACAGGUUGGCAGCUACAGCUCCAAUUUGACCCCUAGCCUGGAAACGUCCAUAUGCCAAGGGUGCGGCCCUAAACAGAAAAACAGCAACAACAAACAAACCAAAGCCAUGAAUACAGCCUGUGAUUUCUCUCCACCCUCCUGGGAUAAUCACCUCUGAUGAUACAGAGCUGUUAUCAUCUCUUAAAUCCUGACCAACUGAUGGGCUCAAGGAUUUCGCUGUUAUUUUAAUUUGCACGUCUGUCUUCUAAGAAGUCAUGGCUUUACUUCAAACAUUAGUUGUUGAUAUUUCUUUGUUGGUAAACUUCUGGUUCUUGUCCUUAGCUCCUUUCCCACCUUUGGGGAAUUUUAUCUUUUCCUUACUGACUUUUUUUUUUCUUUUUAUGGCCUUCCCUGCAGCAUGUGGAAGGUCCUGCACCUAUGCCACAGCCACGGCAAGGCUGGACUGGAGCCUCAUCUGCGACAUACACCACCGUUUUCAUCAAUGCAGGAUCCUUAACCCACCGGGCAAGGCCAGGGAUCAAACCCGCAUCCUCAUGAGACCGUGGCGAGUUCUUAACCUGCUGAGCCACAACAGGAACCCCUCCUUUUUAAUUUUUAAUUCUGUGGGGGCACAAUUUUAGGUCCCAUGACCCCCCCCUCCCCAUCAUGCCUGUGGUUAUGGUUGGUUAGAUGUCAAAAGAGAUUACGUAGAUGUAAUUAAGGUUACUAAUCAGCUGAUCUUAAAAUAAGGAGAUGAUCC